GACGGAGGAUGCAAGCGUUAUCCGGAAUUAUUGGGCGUAAAGCGUCUGUAGGUGGCUUUUCAAGUCCGUCGUCAAAUCCCAGGGCUCAACCCCGGACAGGCGGUGGAAACUGACAAGCUAGAGUACGGUAGGGGCAGAGGGAAUUUCCGGUGGAGCGGUUAAAUGCGUAGAGAUCGGAAAGAACACCAGCGGCGAAAGCGCUCUGCUGGACCGAUACUGACACUCAGAGACGAAAGCUAGGGGAGCGAAAGGG
rnacentral:rRNA from 1 species